GUCGACAACCCCUAGUCCCGAGCAACCCCGGAAGGUAGCACGAACUUGCACGCGUCCUCUACGCGGAUUUUAGGUCACUCUGUAAGUCCAGGCGGUCGCGGGCGCCAAGCGGGGAUAGAUGUCGUCGAGGGUGUCGGGUCGUCGGUCGGUCUAUCGGUCGGUCAGUCGGUCGGACGGAUAAAUCGGAGCGCGUUAUCCCGCGUGGCGACUACCGCGAUUCCGCUCUCGGGGAUGAAGAAGACGAGACAAUCACCUGACUGGCAACGCGACUUCAGGUCUGAUCAUCUCUCGCCUCUCGUUUUGUCCGCGAAGGAUUUUCCCGCGGGUAUAUAAAAGAAACUGAGUCUCCUCUUCGCGGAUCUCGUUAGCGGGUCAGCUUUCUCGCUUUCUCUUUGAGCCGGUCCGUUACUUUGCGCUGCUGAGACGAAUGUUGUUCCUUGCGUUAUCCUCCGGUGUACGUUCAAAGCACGAAGAUAUAUAAUUAGGUUGACAGGCAGAAUUCUUUUGGUCAAGCGCGUGUUUCCGUUGAAUCACGUUCGAAUCAAGCCGAAUUGUAAUCGUCGUCCAUCACGUGACUGUGCCGUUGCCAGUGAUAGCAAAGCGCGAAAUUAGCGUUGGGGAAAAUAGCAUUCUGAUUUCUUUUCACGGGACUCGUGUUUCCUCCGCGUGAAAGUUCCGCAAGGUCGAGAGCUGAUCGUAGUCGCGGAGCAAAAAGGGACUUGAAUUCAUCACUCGAUCGCAAUAUGGUUGUUAAAUCCGGGAAUAUCUGAGAAUCCCUCGGGAACCGUUUGAGAAUCCUUAGGGAGGGAGAUAGGUAGGAAGGAACGAGGGAUUUUCGCGCCUUGGGUGAUCAAGUUUCCGCUAAGUGACAUCCGCGUAGAAUCAUCCGGCGAAGGUAAUAGGAAACGAGAUCGGGUCACCUUGCAGCAACGCAAUCGCCGGAUAGACAUAUAUAUAUAUAUAUAUAUAUAUAGUCGAGUCUCGUUUGAUUUAGCUGGGGAUUUUAAGGGCAAAAGACGGCGGGAGCAAAAGUUUUCUAUAGUCGAGUUUCCGUCAGGCGACACCUGCGUGGAAUCAUCCGCCCAGGAUCAGGCGAAAAGAGUCGGCGUCCCCUUCCCCCUUGCAGUAAGUUGUUAUCACGUUUAUCGGCUCGUCGCAUUUGUGUCUCGCUCGGUUGAGAGAAAAGGAGUUAAAUAUCACAAGUCCGCGUCUCGCGUCCACUUGCUUUUUCGCGUCGACUUGAGCGCGCGAAAUUUUACCUCGCGCACAGCGCGGUGGAAUCAUUCGUCACGCGGCGGGAUCAUCCGGGAACAUUCGCGACAUUAUCUCACGCCGAGAUGGACGCGUCGCGCGAGCAUCGCGCGGAUUUCCGGCGAGUGAGACCGUGUGAGACCCGCGCCACGUUGGCCGAUACGUCUCCAUUAUUCGAUCAGUAGUCCGCGGGGGCCGUAAAAAGCGCGGGCAUUAAUUAAAUUCCCGUGCCGGCAGCGCGGCCGAGUUUCCACGCGCGCGCGUACUGUCGCAACAUUCGUUACGUUCUCCCACAACGAUAUAUCGUCGCCGUUGCCGUCGUUUGUCUUCAAAUGACCCGGCGUUGACGAUGGCACCUGUCCGUGUGUCAUGCGGGCGCAUAACACGUCACGUGGGCGCACACUGGUUGUCGGUGCGCAGAUAGAUUGCACGUGACAGCUCGGCCUCCUGACGAUCGGCGUCAGCGAAAAGUGGGGUCAUCGCGCUUUAAACCGCGCGCCGCGGAAACACACACGCACGUCGCCCGGACUCGCGCGCCUCGCUCCUCCGGCUUGCUCGCGGAUCGCCGACGUCAGGCCGCGCACGGCGGACUCGUCAGGGGCUGACCAGCGAGGAAACCGAGCUGGACGGAUCGAGAGAGUCGACGACAACUCGAAAAAUCCACCACGUUGCUUCCACUCGACGCGAUGCUACUCCUGCCGUGUCCUUCUUCGUCGGUGACACACAUGGCGUUUCCUCUUGGCGAGUUUUCCCGACCGGCACGAGAUUGUGUCGCGCCACGGUAUCGGCCCGACCGACCGACCGACCAACCAACCAACCGACCAACCGACCAACCAAUCGACUAAAAAGAAUCAGCCAGACAGCCCGCCUGGCUGUAAAAGUAGCCACUGGAAAUAAUUAAGAAUUCGCAAAAUUACAGAUCUAUCCUACCCAGUAUCGGCGAAGUUGCAGCAAUCUUUUCACGAUUUCCCGCCCCUCUCUCGCUUUUUAUUCUAUUACAGAAAGACAUUGAAGUCCGAUAAAAGGAUCUAAUCUUCCUUUUGCAAGUUGUAACUAUGGUCGUGGAGCUAUGUCCAUUGACCAUUCUUCUUGCAAGAAAUCCUGUCGCGAGGUUGCUUGCGAUAAUUUAUACGCUUCAAUUAGCGACGCAAUUAAUAGCCGUACACAUGAUUAGAUAACUCACUGAUGUGUGACCGUUCAAGAAUUAUACGAGGUUUUCCGAUUGAUUCACCAAGAAUUUACUUAUCUUGUAGAUAGUAGAUUCUUGCGAACACAUAUAGUUGUACAAUCAGUGUAUUUCUAUCUCAUAUAAAUUUUUACCGAUAAUAUACAUAAAUAAUAAGUUGACAGAAUAAUUUUGCUUUAUUAGAACUAAUAUAAUAAUGAAUCAAUUAUCCGCUUCUCGAUACAGUUGUCUGAGUCAUAAGGAAAUCCUCGUAAUUAUAAACCCUCACUGAACUCUCUAAGGCCGAGGCAUCAAUCCCGUUGUAAGAACGGUAACGUUCAAAAAGUUGGCCUGGAUAAAUUUUAGCAAUGUUUAGGCUUCUGGGUUCAAUGUUGACACGCCGCGUCUCUCCAAAUUAGAAUUCAAAUUUCACGGAGGCGAAACGAAGCGGAGCGUUAAGCGAUAGUAGCGCGAUAAAAUGAAUUUUGGCAUGCUCUUUCACGAUCGCUUCGAUUCCUAUUCAAGGAGGAUUCCUUAUUCUCCCUCAGGAACGUAGAAAUCGUCUGCGCAGUCUCUGGAAGUCGACAAAGUUUUAUUGGUCGAAGCUCCGUACGUGAUCGGAAUAGAAAUCGCUGCACCGCGAUCGCGCCCGCGGAUCACUUUACAAAUGUGUAAAAGCGACGAUAUAAUGUAAAGUCCUUCUUGAACAAAUUAAACGCCCUUCGACGAAGACGGCCGGGAGAAGUACAUUUUCAGCGGGAAAUAAAAAAAAAAUAUACACGACGUCGCUCUCUUUUAUUAUUCGUAUUCCGCCAAUACAGUACAUUUUAUUCGGUGAAAUCGCGGUUUUCAGGUUCGUGAUUCUGCUUCUUAAUUCUCAAUUACGACUGUCGCGUUCGUAACGUGAAUUGUGAGUAACAUUUGUGGACAGUUGAGGCGAUGUUUUUUCACCGAGACGGCAACAACUGAGUAUUUUAUUAGUUUAUAAUAUAUAGUUUUAUAUUUUAAUAUCCUAUAUAUAUUAAAAGAAGUACGUUUUGAAAUCUUUCUCAACAAAAGCGACCAACGAAAAGUCUAAAUUUACCAGAGGACAUUCUGGGAUUAAAUAAGAACUACUAUCUUAUCAUUGAGAGACUUCCUAUUAUUUGAUAUAUUACUUUUAUCUAUUUUCUUUCUUAUGUUGAACGGUUCAUAGAUACAGUUAUAAACAUGACCAGUUGGAAAUUAUACUGUUGUUCCAAUUAAUACAACUAAAAAUUGGACAACUAAAAAUAUUAGCUGCAGGAGCAAAUUUUCUUGGUUUUAUAGCAAAGUUACUUAGUUGUGAU